UACGGAGGAUCCGAGCGUUAUCCGGAUUUAUUGGGUUUAAAGGGCGCGUAGGUGGCGGCUUAAGCGUGCGGUGAAAGCUCGGGGCUCAACCCCGAGUCGGCCGUGCGAACUGAGUCGCUUGAGCACUGUAGAGGCAGGCGGAAUUCCGGGUGUAGCGGUGGAAUGCGUAGAGAUCCGGAAGAACACCGGUGGCGAAGGCGGCCUGCUGGGCAGUAGCUGACACUGAGGCGCGACAGCGUGGGGAGCAAACAGG
rnacentral:rRNA from 1 species